UGAGGAAUAUUGGACAAUGGGUUAGCGCCUGAUCCAGCCAUCCCGCGUGAAGGACGACGGCCCUAUGGGUUGUAAACUUCUUUUGUAUAGGGAUAAACCUACUCUCGUGAGAGUAGCUGAAGGUACUAUACGAAUAAGCACCGGCUAACUCCGUGCCAGCAGCCGCGGUAAUACGGAGGGUGCAAGCGUUAUCCGGAUUUAUUGGGUUUAAAGGGUCCGUAGGCGGAUCUGUAAGUCAGUGGUGAAAUCUCACAGCUUAACUGUGAAACUGCCAUUGAUACUGCAGGUCUUGAGUAAAUUUGAAGUGGCUGGAAUAAGUAGUGUAGCGGUGAAAUGCAUAGAUAUUACUUAGAACACCAAUUGCGAAGGCAGGUCACUAAGAUUUAACUGACGCUGAUGGACGAAAGCGUGGGGAGCGAACAGG
rnacentral:rRNA from 2 species